rnacentral:tRNA from 1 species
GCCCGUGUAGCUCAGUGGCAGAGCGUUACCUUGGUAAGGUAAAGGUCGUCGGUUCAAUCCCGACCGCGGGCU